GACGUAGGGCGCGAGCGUUGUCCGGAUUUAUUGGGCGUAAAGAGCUCGUAGGCGGCUUGUCGCGUCGUCCGUGAAAACCUGCGGCUCAACUGCAGGCUGGCGGUCGAUACGGGCAGGCUAGAGUUCGGUAGGGGAGACUGGAAUUCCUGGUGUAGCGGUGAAAUGCGUAGAUAUCAAGAGGAACACCUGAGGUGAAGACGGGUUGCUGGGCUGACACUGACGCUGAGGCGCGAAAGCUAGGGUAGCAAACGGG
rnacentral:rRNA from 1 species